CUCCAGAUGUUGUUAGACUGCAACUCCCCUGGUUACAGGCGAUGGGAUUUGUAGUCUAACAACAUUCAGGG